rnacentral:rRNA from 1 species
GGGAACUACGAGCAUAAGCUUAAAACCCAAAGGACUUGGCGGUGCUUUAGACCCCCCUAGAGGAGCCUGUUCUAGAACCGAUAACCCCCGUUCGACCUCACCUUUUCUUGUUCAUCCCGUCUAUAUACCGCCGUCGUCAGCAUACCCUGUGAAGGAAACAUAGUAGGCAAAACUGGUAAAACCCAAAACGCCAGGUCGAGGUGUAGCAUACGAAAAGGAAAGAAAUGGGCUACAUUUCCUCUUACAGGAAAUACGAAUUGUGUCAUGAAACAACACAUGAAGGAGGAUUUAGCAGUAAGCAGAAAAC